AUGCAAUCCGAGAUGCCGUUCAGAUGCAGAUACAAAUGCAGAUGCAGAUGAAGUCGCAAACGAAGAUGGAGGCGAUCUCAAGUUGAGCGUGUGGCAGGCAGACGGCGAUCUCUAAUGGGCAAUGGCAUCAUAAUCAUCAUCAUUGACAGGCGGUCUCAUGUUGCAUUUACUAUAUACUCGUAUGCAAGUUAGUGAACCCCGACUUAAACCAAGUUAAACCCCCUUCCCCUCUAAAAGAAAACCUCAUCGCUUAAUCUCUGGAAAGUGCAACGGCCUAAUCACAAAUCAAAUAUUUUUGUACGCCUCGAGGGUUUUAUGGCCUUUGCUCCGCUGCAGUUCAUCGUCUUUGGAUCGGAUCGGAAUGGGAGUACUAUAUAGUUGGGUAGACUGAUUGGGUGCCCUCAAAUAUUUGACAAGACCCAGUGCAUUCGACUUCUGUGUGGGACUCAAACUAUCCGGUUGACUUUGGCCGGAUUGAUAGCCUCUAAUCAGUUGCUCUGUUUGUUGUCGAAUGGGCCUCAUAAAUUACACUACUUUGCAUUCUUCUUCAAGUGCUUAAAAGGGGUGACGAACCAUCCAGAAAUGUUUUCAAUUUCUGUGCCUAAUUACAUGAUUUAUGGCUAAGAAAUGGAAAAUUUAAGAUCCGAAUUUAUCAAAUGGGAGUAUAGAAGUAUAGUUUAACAUCAAAUUUUAGCAAAUAUUUGAUUGUAAAUUAUGAUAUUAAUGAUAUUCUGAGAUUUUAUCAAUUUCGAAACUUAAUGAAUUGAUAUCCCCGAAAAAUCUUAGAUAUAGAAUGUAAA